rnacentral:rRNA from 1 species
UACAGAGGGUGCAAGCGUUGUUCGGAAUUACUGGGCGUAAAGGGUGAGUAGGCGGUUAUGUAAGUCAGAUGUGAAAUCCCGGAGCUCAACUUCGGAAUUGCAUUUGAAACUACAUGACUAGAGUAUGGUAGAGGCUAGCGGAAUUCCCAGUGUAGUAGUGAAAUACGUAGAUAUUGGGAGGAACACCAGAGGCGAAGGCGGCUAGCUGGGCCAUCACUGACGCUGAGGCACGAAAGCGUGGGUAGCAAACAGG